UACGUAGGGUGCAAGCGUUAAUCGGAAUUACUGGGCGUAAAGCGUGCGCAGGCGGUUAUGCAAGACAGAUGUGAAAUCCCCGGGCUCAACCUGGGAAUGGCCUAUGUGACUGGCAGGCUAGAGGAUGGCAGAGGGAGGCGGAAUUCCACGUGUAGCAGUGAAAUGCGUAGAGAUGUGGAGGAACACCGAUGGCGAAGGCAGCCUCCUGGGCCAAUUCUGACGCUCAGGCACGAAAGCGUGGGGAUCAAACAGG
rnacentral:rRNA from 1 species